CGCGCGGGUCUGUGGUGUUCUCCCUGAAAGGCCUAAGCUUUGGGUGAUGGCAUUGCCUUUUGGCACUCGGGAGACAAGAUGCAGGUUCCGUCUCAGAAGUAAUGGCUGGAUCCCUGAAAGCCAACGGGCUCGGUGUGGUCCACCCGUCAGAAGGCAUAGGUAGAUGGUGGGCAUCUGCCUCAGACAUAGUUCUCAAGUUCAGCCAGAAGAAUGCGCGUUGAGCCCUCUGCAGCCCGUGUCGACGGAGGUGUUGUCUCCAGGAAGCAUCAUGGAAAGGCGUGGUGGUGCACAAGGGCCUUCAGGAUGCCUGCGCCUGGUGACGGCUGCGCCUCAGGUUCUGGGCCUGACUCGGAAGGGUGCCUGUGAGCAGAAGAGCUGGCACGCGCAGCUCAGUGGACCAUCAGUGCCAACCCGUCCUGUACCCUGGCUGAGGGGUGUGCUAAGUGGCAGGCAAGUUUCAGCAGGAUUUUUUCGUUUCUUCGCUAGGUUUGUAGCUCUCUUGUGACAGACAAGCGAUUGUCACUGGUUGAGCUGAGGAUGAUUUAAGUUAUCCCUGUCUGAAAUGACACUUUCUGAAGAGUCAUGGUUUACUGAGGCUCGACUUUUAAGACCUAUUUUGAGAAUGUCCACAGUAAGAUUGCUUCUGUUAGAGUGAGGUGUGUUGUCUUCGUUACUCAGAUUCCCGGUUGGCUCAUCGUAAGGCGUGGCACAAAAUCACCAUCGAAAGAAAGGGCCUUCGGGAUGCCUCUAUCUGGUAAGAGCUUCACAGAAUUGCAGGGGUUGUGGUUGCUGGGAAGGGUUAGUCUGUUAGAUCAGGUGCUGCAGAAUCGAGUGUAACCCUUCCUCCCUUUAGUCUUACUGUGUAGCCCGUGCUGGCCUGCAACUUGCUAUGUAGACCUGGUUGACCUCAAACUCAGUUUGUGGCCUUUCAGGUGCUGGGAUUUUCAUGUUCUCAUUUUGUGUUCC
rnacentral:lncRNA from 7 species